GCGAAUGUGGCGAAGUGGGUAACGCACCGGAUUGUGGCUCCGGCAUUUGUGGGUUCGAUUCCCAUCAUUCGCC
rnacentral:tRNA from 1 species